rnacentral:rRNA from 1 species
AUUGAACGCUGGCGGCAGGCUUAACACAUGCAAGUCGAGCGGAGAUGAGGUGCUUGCACCUUAUCUUAGCGGCGGACGGGUGAGUAAUGCUUAGGAAUCUGCCUAUUAGUGGGGGACAACAUUCCGAAAGGAAUGCUAAUACCGCAUACGCCCUACGGGGGAAAGCAGGGGAUCUUCGGACCUUGUGCUAAUAGAUGAGCCUAAGUCGGAUUAGCUAGUUGGUGGGGUAAAGGCCUACCAAGGCGACGAUCUGUAGCGGGUCUGAGAGGAUGAUCCGCCACACUGGGACGGAGACACGGCCCAGACUCCUACGGGAGGCAGCAGUGGGGAAUAUUGGGCAAUGGGCGGAAGCCUGAUCCAGCCAUGCCGCGUGUGUGAAGAAGGCCUUUUGGUCGUAAAGCACUUUAAGCGAGGAGGAGGCUACCUGGAUUAAUACUCUAGGAUAGUGGACGUUACUCGCAGAAUAAGCACCGGCUAACUCUGUGCCAGCCGCCGCAGUAACAC